rnacentral:sRNA from 1 species
CUGGUGCGUUUACUGUUCGAUCUUUCAUUUAUAACUGUCCAUUCUUCUCAAAAGUUACAUGACUCUCAUAUUUUAUUAGAAAAGUUGUGGAAUUCAAGAAACAGGUCUUUUUUUGCACUAAAAUGGAAAUAUUUCGAUUUCUUAAUGAUAAGCUCGAAAUGUGGAUCCGGAAGACAUGCCGAUUCGUUCAGAUCAUGGAGGGCGUCCGUUGGUUUUAUGCUCCUAAAGCGUUUCACCUUGCAACUGUCAAAGCUCUAGGAACGAUUGGUUGCGAUACGCAAGAGUAGCCCAUCCAGAUCAACAAGAAUAUAGAUGUAGAUUUAUGUACUAAACAAAUUUGUACAUUCGAAUUUGUUGUAUUUGCAAAGAAUGGAAACAUUUUUAGGAGGAUCGUUACCUUAACACUAAGACAAGUCUAAAUGUGUGUGAGUGUGAGUGUGAGGGUGUGUGUAUGUGCGAGUGUGUGGCUUAGAUGGGACAGUCUGCUGUGAAUUGAGGAAGCGCAGUUUAGCUGAACCGCCCGCCAGGUGUGCUCACAUUGCCUUCAGAUGUAAUAUAUGUAUGUAUUUAUAUCGUA